rnacentral:rRNA from 1 species
GAUGAACGCUGGCGGCGUGCCUAAUACAUGCAAGUCGAGCGAACGGACGAGAAGCUUGCUCCUCUGAUGUUAGCGGCGGACGGGUGAGUAACACGUGGAUAACCUACCUAUAAGACUGGGAUAACUUCGGGAAACCGGAGCUAAUACCGGAUAAUAUAUUGAACCGCAUGGUUCAAUAGUGAAAGACGGUUUUGCUGUCACUUAUAGAUGGAUCCGCGCUGCAUUAGCUAGUUGGUAAGGUAACGGCUUACCAAGGCAACGAUGCAUAGCCGACCUGAGAGGGUGAUCGGCCACACUGGAACUGAGACACGGUCCAGACUCCUACGGGAGGCAGCAGUAGGGAAUCUUCCGCAAUGGGCGAAAGCCUGACGGAGCAACGCCGCGUGAGUGAUGAAGGUCUUCGGAUCGUAAAACUCUGUUAUUAGGGAAGAACAUAUGUGUAAGUAACUAUGCACAUCUUGACGGUACCUAAUCAGAAAGCCACGGCUAACUACGUG